CAGGUUUACAGGGGUUUUAAGUUUGAUAAUGAACUGAUUAUUUUCUUUAGUAUGUGGCGCUCAGCUGGAGUUUAUCUCCUCAUCAGCCUCCUGCUGCCUCAGCAGCUGCCGCUCGUCACCUCAUCAGGAUCUGUGCAGGUUGUUUACUUUGAGAAACCAGUGCAGACAGAGGAGACAGCUGCCAGUGAAGCAAGAAGAAAGGUUUUUGUUAUUUUUUCAAUGUGAACAAACUGAUCUCAGCUAACAAAUCAUGUAUUCUUCAAUUAAGCAAUAAAGUGACAAGUCGACGAUGGGCCUCUUUUGUUCAACAGGAUUUACCUUUGGUGUGAAUUCAGUCUCAUUUAGCCUCAAAAAGUUAAUAAGCAAAAACGUUAAGAUCCUAUUUUGAUAACUGAGAAAUAUAGUUUGUGUUCCUUACAUGCAGCUUUACUUCAAUGAGUAAGGACUGAUGAUCAAAUAUACAAAAGAUUUUUUUUUUUUUUAAGCA